rnacentral:tRNA from 1 species
GCGGGCGUGGCGGAAUUGGCAGACGCGCGGGGUUUAGGUCCCCGUGGCCGUAAAAGGCCGUGCAGGUUCAAGUCCUGUCGCCCGCA